rnacentral:ncRNA from 12 species
AGAUCUGUUCAUAGAUCGUGAACAGGGUAAAUUAAAAAAAGCUCACCGAGA